rnacentral:rRNA from 1 species
CAGCCGCCACGGGAAUACGUAGGUGGCAAGCGUUGUCCGGAAUUAUUGGGCGUAAAGGGCUCGCAGGCGGUUUCUUAAGUCUGAUGUGAAAGCCCCUGGCUCAACCGGGGAGGGUCAUUGGAAACUGGGAAACUUGAGUGCAGAAGAGGAGAGUGGAAUUCCACGUGUAGCGGUGAAAUGCGUUGAGAUCGGAAAGAACACCAACGGCGAAAGCACUCUGCUGAGCCGACACUGACGCUGAGAGACGAAAGCUAGGGGAGCAAAUGGGAUUAGAUACCCCGGUAGUCCCUGUCUCUUAUAC